rnacentral:rRNA from 1 species
CCUACGGGAGGCAGCAGUAAGGAAUAUUGGUCAAUGGAGGGAACUCUGAACCAGCCAUGCCGCGUGCAGGAAGACAGCCCUCUGGGUCGUAAACUGCUUUUAUUCGGGAAUAAACCACAUUACGUGUAAUGUGCUGAAUGUACCGAAGGAAUAAGGAUCGGCUAACUCCGUGCCAGCAGCCGCGGUAAU